rnacentral:lncRNA from 1 species
UAACUACUAUGCAAGAUAUUGCCUUUAAAAAAAGCCGUCAGGUCCACCAAGCCCGGCCCACUAAACCCAGGACCACAUGGGCUUAGGCCUGUCACGGCUAAUUUUACCCACUAAAUCCACGAAGACCGGGACCGCCAGGUCCGGAACCGCCAGAGCCCAGGCCUGUUUAGGCCCGAGAUAAAAUACACCCUUAUCAGAGGCUACAUAACCAAUAGUAAUAUUAAGGGAACAAGUCUACAAUGUAAGAUGAAGGGAUGUGCGUAAAUGCAAAACAAUCAACUAUUUGUAUCAAAACUAAUCAGAUAUGGAAUG